GGGAGUGUGGCUCAGUGGUAGAGCAUUUGCCUAACAAGUAGGAAGCCCUAGGUUCAAUCUUCACUACUG
rnacentral:tRNA from 1 species